ensembl:lncRNA
AGGGGGCGCUCUGCCACCAGGUAGCUGCUACCAUAAGACAUGACGGCGACUGUUAUUUUUGACGUUUUCUUUUUCUGACACCAACAUAUGAGGAGCUAAAUGCCUUCGAGAUACGACAUUGAACAAAGUCAACCAUGAACUUCAAUGUAGGACAUCGUGUGGUGAGUUUUUCACUUUUCAGCCGAACAUUUACUUUGACGACAAAAGUUGUAAACAUGUCCCCAUGUUUCUCCUCAGAGGUGCAGGCAGCCCACCGCGCCCCCUUUCUCCAACAGGACCCUGCACCACCCGUCUUUCCUGCCUGUGUACAUGGCUACAGAGUUUGCACACCAUCACACCGACUGUAACAACCAAACCAGUGAGUCAGGUUUAGCCACAUCUGUUUUAAAGCUCCAUCCAAUAUCACCGCUGACAACUAGUCUUCUCUCCAGUCCAUCCCAUCAUCCCAGCGGAGUUCUUCUACACUGAUCCCACCAUGAGCUGUGGGAGGAGGAUCCCCAACAUAGUGAGUGAGUUGAGGGUUUCCGAUUGCUUCCAGCUCAACACUCCGCCACCAGUUAUGUCCGCCUGCCCAGCUCCACCGUCUCGUCCAGACCCAUUCAGAUCAGAACCACACCCCGCCAGGGAUCUGGGCAGCCUCACCUUGAAAAGAAAUACUCUUCACCCUCUAGUGCAGCCAAGCCGUGUUAUUCUCCAGCUUACCCAGGAGGAAGACCAGGCCAUUACUAACCUCCUGAAACUGCACCACCAACAGCCUAUACAGAGUGAUGAGACCCUUGCUGCUCUGCAAAUGGUCUCUUCCAGUGUAGAGUUGAACCCCAUCUCAUUCCUUCACCCUAACCUUAUGGACUCCACUUCAGCUGAGGAAGUAUACAAGCCCUUCUGUAGCGAUGAGCAGUAUCCAAGGCAGCAGGGAAGGUCUUGGUCAGAUACGGAGCUUGAGGCAGCUAACACCCUCUUGAGUUGUUUCAGCCUGAUGGAGGAGGAAAUCUGCGGCCUAAACCACAGUAAAUCAGCAGUAAAACCUUCUGACCCUCUGCUUUACCAGCAUCACAAGGACUCAUCAAUAAGCACUGAAACCCCAAAAGGAUCUGAGAGUUUUCCUGCAUUAACAACUGCUGGUUGUACCCAAAACGACAUUGGCUACAUCGGCUUUAGUCGUGCCAGGGAAUAUGGAGAACCAGGCUGGGGGGAUUUUGGGUUUGUGGUGCGAAGGAGAGAUGAUGUUCAUCUGCCCGUUCGUGAGUCUACACUGUUCUCAGACUCAAAGGCAAAAAGCACAUCAGGCGCCUCUGGAGAUUUUUUAGAAAUGAAGGAGCGUACGCUCUCAGAUUCUGAGGGAGAUGCUGUGCAAGUACUCCUGAGCCUCGGGGACAUGGGAGCGCUGGAUAUCGUGCAGUGAUUGUCUUAAAUCUGAGGCUCUUGUCCAUGGGUGAGUUUGUAAGGGACUUUACUACCUCCUUUCUCAUUAUGGAAACAACUAUUUGAGGGUUCUUUGCACUAGUUGCUCUGAAAGUAAUUUUUUUUUCUAGGAUGAGAAUUAAUAAAAUCUACCUGAGUAUUGCAUUACAUUUCCCUUGUAAUUUUCUUACUACUGUAUCAGUGUUUAAUAAAAAUGAUCAACAGUUGAGCCUCGAGCUAAAAAGACACGUUUUUAUUAAAAGCACUAUGCACUGUUUUUGAAAGAGAAUCCUCCCCACUCAUUAUUUACAACAUAUUGUACAUUUACAGCAUAUCCACAAAUAAGAUCCCAUCUUUACUGACAAGCGUCAGGGGGAGCUACAGUAUUAUUCCACAAUGGCUACUGACACAAGCUAACAAGCUAUUGGACAGCACGAAGACUGAAACGUCAUAACGACAGUACAGCUCAGCACACACUUACAUGCCUUUUCAAAGCUCUGGGGCUUGAUAUGAUCCUGACAGAAGUCCUGGUGUGUAAUUUUGAGUUCAUUCAAAGGCACUUCCUGAUUUUGUUUUGUGGUGAGAGAUAUAUAUUCCUUUUUAAAUGUUAACACUGUUGAAUUUCAGUAAAUGUGUUUUUACAAGAUUCUUGUAUCAUAAAAACAUGUUCUCCUGUAUUCUGGCCACCUUAGUAGUGACACAAGAUAGGCUGUUGUGCAUGGCAGGAAUGAAAAGUAUUUAACUUGUGUGGUCAUGUGACAACUGACACCAGGCGUUUACAGGAACGCCCAACUCUUUUUUUUUGCAGCAGGUCUGUAUUUGUACAAUCUGGUCGAGCAAUAGCUGGAAUGAUUGGCAUUUUUACAUGUGCCGUUUCAGUUUUUGCAGAGGAGGCGUUAACAAAGGUUUGCAUGCUCACAAGAAGAGGUAAACUCUACAGCUGUAGUAAUGCUCUAAGAUGCUGAUCUUUGUUAUUGAAUGCAUGCCAUUCAUAGUGUCUGUCAGUGUCUACCUCAAGCUCCCAGCUGCACACUCGCGUACUCCAGUGAGAUGAUUGCAGGUCUGUCAUAUCUCAUGAUCUUCACCCUUCUCCUUUUAUCUUUCAUUUCCUGGUUGUUAGAAACUCUCACUUCAACUCAAAGUCACUGAAUAAUCUUUGUACAGAGUUCAUUUCUGAGGAUAUUGUAUCCAUUCAUUGGCUCUUAAGAUUUC